GCUCCUCAGCUGCAGGGACAGAGAUCCUGUCCCUGGUCUCUGCACCAGCAGCCCCUGGAUACUGCCAUGUAAUUUUACCCAGGUCUUGCCAUGGUCCCCUGGCCAUUGCUGGACAGGGGUAAAAGCAGAUUCAGUGUGAGAGGGUGUUUGUAUUGUUUGGUCUGUGAUUUCUUUGGGGGUCACACAUAGCUCUCAGUGGCUGAGGCUGCUUUCCUUUGUUUGGGAGCCCAGGGCUGUUUGCAGACUCUGCCAGGCUGGGCUGAGUCACUGCCAUGCAGCAAACUGGGACUUCCCAGGUAUCUGGCACCAAUUCUUGAGUCAUCUGUUAAAGAUCUUUCCUAAACAAGACUCUUUGAUGCAAAGACCUAUCAGAGAACCCACCUGACUUCACAGCAGUCGUGGGGAUGUGCCAUGAAGUGCAAGGAGAGCAGGACCACCUGCUGCUGCAGGAGCAGCCUCCAUGAGAUCAGAUGAAGCUUUUCCUGGAGGCACAGCCAGCUCAGUAGAUCACAGCACAACAGGGGAGUUGAAAAUAAGAUGGAAAAACCUCAUAGUUCAAGAUUAAGGCAGCUUAAUGAAGAAUAAAGUUGUGUGUGGAAGCAAAGGAAACCAAAAGAUUUUCUUGUCUCCUCCCCAUCUGAAGUGAUGUGUGACUACUUCCUGGGAAGCUGGGCCUCAG